rnacentral:rRNA from 1 species
UACGUAGGGACCAAGCGUUGUUCGGAUUUACUGGGCGUAAAGGGCGCGUAGGCGGCAAUUCAAGUCAGCUGUGAAAUCUCCGGGCUUAACUCGGAACGGUCAGCUGAUACUGCUUUGCUAGAGUGCGGAAGGGGCAAUCGGAAUUCUUGGUGUAGCGGUGAAAUGCGUAGAUAUCAAGAGGAACACCUGAGGUGAAGACGGGUUGCUGGGCUGACACUGACGCUGAGUGCGCGAAAGCUAGGGUAGCAAACGGG